rnacentral:rRNA from 1 species
CCAACAGGGAUUGCCUUAGUAGCGGCGAGUGAAGCGGCAAAAGCUCAAAUUUGAAAUCUGGCUCUUUCAGAGUCCGAGUUGUAAUUUGAAGAAGGUAUCUUUGGGUCUGGCUCUUGUCUAUGUUUCUUGGAACAGAACGUCACAGAGGGUGAGAAUCCCGUGCGAUGAGAUGAUCCAGGCCUAUGUAAAGUUCCUUCGAAGAGUCGAGUUGUUUGGGAAUGCAGCUCUAAGUGGGUGGUAAAUUCCAUCUAAAGCUAAAUAUUGGCGAGAGACCGAUAGCGAACAAGUACAGUGAUGGAAAGAUGAAAAGAACUUUGAAAAGAGAGUGAAAAAGUACGUGAAAUUGUUGAAAGGGAAGGGCUUGAGAUCAGACUUGGUAUUUUGUAUGUUACUUCUUCGGGGGUGGCCUCUACAGUUUAUCGGGCCAGCAUCAGUUUGGGCGGUAGGAGAAUUGCGUUGGAAUGUGGCACGGCUUCGGUUGUGUGUUAUAGCCUUCGUCGAUACUGCCAGCCUAGACUGAGGACUGCGGUUUAUACCUAGGAUGUUGGCAUAAUGAUCUUAAGUCGCCCGC